rnacentral:lncRNA from 1 species
AUAUAGGUGGAAGAGAGAGGUCGGUGGGUCGAGGUGCUGCAAAAAUAUAGUAACUGUUUUUACUCCAGAUGCAAAAAUCAGGGACGAGGUAGGGAGGACCGGGUCCGAACGGCUCCGGAACGCACCCCCCCGACCCCCGGCUGGGCUGUGCCGCCUUUCGGCCGGGCUGCGCCGCUCCGCCUACUCUCUGCCGCCGCAGCCGGCCGCCUGCCUCGCUCCUCCCCUGCCCUCAGCGGCACUGCUCCGCGCCCGGCACACAGGCAGCCGCCGCCGGACCUGCUGCUCCCAACAUGGCCGCCACCACCGCCGGCCCUCGGCUCUUUCCGCCGGCGGCAGCCGGAAACAUCCGAAGCGCUUAGGAACGGGAGGGGGGCGCGCCUUCUCCUCUCGGCCGGGGUCUACGGGUCAAUUCCGGAAACAGCCGAAGAAGGCCGUCAACAUGUGUCACCUGACAAACGCAACGUCAGUCUAUUACCUACCUGCCUCCCGCCCACCACCUGCCACGGGCUCUCCUGUCUGUGAAUGGCCGCACCUGGUCCGCAGGUCGGCAAGGGACCAGGUCAGCGUCCGACACACUCCGCUGCGGGAACGCCCAGGGCCUGCCUUGCAGCCCCAGCUCUGCGAUCCUGGGAAACCCACCUGCCAUCUCUGAGCUUAGGCUCCUGUCCCCUCCACCGAACGGAUUUAUCCCAGAGAUGACUUUAAGUGCCCCUGCCAGGUAAGGCAGGAGAGAUCGUCUCAUCUUUUUUUCUUUUAAAAAACAAUGCGCCUUUUCUAGCGGUAAGGUCGACGUGGGACGCCCGCAUCCCGUCCCUGACUGGCCGGGCUCAAGCCCCCGCUACUCUGCUUCCAAUCCAGCUUCCUCCUCAUCCACACCCUGGGAGGCAGCAAGUGAUGGCUCAAACAUCUGUGUCCCUGCCACCCACAUGGGAGACCCCAGGAUUGAGUUCCGGACUCCAGGCUUCUGACUGGCCUAGCCCUGGCUGUUGUAGGGAUUCUCCUCCAUCUCUCUGCCUUUGAAAUAAAAUGAAAAUUAAUUUUUUUUUUAUUUUUGAC